rnacentral:lncRNA from 13 species
CAUAGGACUGCUUUGCAUUUGGCCUGUGCCAGUGGCCACCCAACAGUGGUAGCUCUUCUGGUGAACAGUGGAUGUCAACUUAAUGUCUUUGAUGACAAAAACAGGACAGCUCUGGUAAAGGUGGUGCAAUGCCAGAAAGAGGAAUGUGUGACUACUUUGCUAAAACACGGCGCUGACCCAGAUCUUCCAGAUGUCUAUGGCAAUACUGCCCUACAUUAUGCUGUGUACAAUGAGGAUAUCCCAAUGACAAAAAAACUGCUUUUGCAUCAUGCCAAUAUUGGAUUAGCAAACAAGGAGGAACCACACCAUCUUUACUAGCUGUACAUGAAGAAAAACCGGAAAUGGUAGAAUUUUUAAUAAAGCAAAAAGAAAAUUUAACUUCAGUUAAGUUUGAAAGACGUAGCACUCACCAGCUAAUGUCUGAAUACAAAGAAAAUAAGACAGCUGGAAAUCCUCAAAAUAGCAAUCCAGGUAAGACUUCAGGUAAAUUACUCUUGGUGGUCUUACCAUAGAUUAACAAAUGAGAGUAAGGAAGCUUUAAU